CNGCAUGCCGCGUGNAGGAAGAAGGNCUUCGGGUUGUAAACUGCUUUUGUNCGGAACGAAACGGUCUGNAUUAAUACUCUGGGCUNNUGACGGUACCGNNAGAAUAAGCACCGGCUAACUACGUGCCAGCAGCCGCGGUAAUACGUAGGGUGCAAGCGUUAAUCGGAAUUACUGGGCGUAAAGCGUGCGCAGGCGGUUAUAUAAGACAGAUGUGAAAUCCCCGGGCUCAACCUGGGAAUUGCAUUUGUGACUGUAUAGCUAGAGUACGGUAGAGGGGGAUGGAAUUCCGCGUGUAGCAGUGAAAUGCGUAGAUAUGCGGAGGAACACCGAUGGCGAAGGCAAUCCCCUGGACCUGUACUGACGCUCAUGCACGAAAGCGUGGGGAGCAAACAGGAUUAGAUACCCUGGUAGUCCACUGCUGCCUCCCGUAGGAA
rnacentral:rRNA from 1 species